rnacentral:misc_RNA from 1 species
AGGGAGGGACAGACUUGUUAUAAAGAAUUACCAAUAGUUUUUUUACACUUAACAGAUUUACCUGUGACGUCUGUGACAAGAUGUUUUUGAACAAGGUGCACGCAGAUCUGUGCUACAAAAAUCAUUUGGACAUGUGCAUCCAGCCUCCGCCGCAUGUACCAGGGCCGUCAGAAAAUAUUCCCUGCAGAAAUUAAUGUGUAAUGUUUUAUUUGAGCCUUACCUUAAGUUAUCCCACUCCCAUGAUAAUAUCUUUACAUUACGGUGGAAUGAGGCUAUCUCAGCUUGGCGUGAUCCUGCGACUAAAGAGUACAAUAGUUUUUCCGGCGAGCGACCAGGGAGAUUCGUCUGGCAGUGUUACUAUCGUUUUCAGUAGAAGCGUUCGCUUAUAUGGGCAAACACUUCUGGACCGUUCGCCUUCCACGAAGUGCUGCUGAAAACGCCUUAAUAAAAGUGACGGGGGAGUCUGCACGCUGUUGACAUGGCAAGUAACUGUAUCCAGUGGAAACGUAGCGAAGGUGAGACGGGAGAGAAGGAAGACGUGGACCGCAUGAUGGUGGGGCCUUUUCCAGCACCAAUGCUGGAGGUUGAGGAGGUGUCCCUGUCUGAUUCGCUACUCAAGUACAGAAGUAUUUGGCCCAGCUGACUCGACAAGAACACAAGGGAGAGGCGGGAAGCUUGGUGGCAUGGAGAAGCAGGUGGGAACUGCUGCUUCACCUCCACCCUUGCUGAUGACUCCUACAGCGAAAGCGCCCAGACGCCACCACAUCCCACAACCACCGCCACCACCUUCGAGAACAGUUGCUACAGGUCACUGCUCGACAGCGAUGUAGUAAGUGAUGAUGACAGUGAUUGGAGGGAGGAUGAAUGGCCCCAGGAUCGGCCGCUGCCACUGCCGGAGUGGGGAAGGGAGCGCGCAUCACUAGCCUUUGCCUCAUUACGCGACUACAUGAGUUUCCUGAGCAGAGUCGCAAGCCACCAGCGUCAAACCAUCUCUAUUCAUCCCUACGACUCCGUGUCCAAUUUUAUCGAGUUCUCAGAAGAAUACAUGGCGUCAGAAUUCACCAGCUUGCAGGAAUUCUACCGCUACUACGACCCGCCGCUGGUGUCUGGUCGGUACUCCUGCGUGGGUCUCGCUGCUGAUCUCGCCUCCCGCCUCGCUUACCUGGAAGGGCACUAUCCAGGUUUCAAGGACGCCAUCUAUCAGGUAUCAUGUGAGGAAGAGCUCAAAGAUGAUUAUAUCGGGAGGAUGAUAUCAUCAGGACAGAUCACCACGACCACAUGCAUCAAAGAACACAUGCUUCUGUGUGUGCGUGUAUGUGUAGAGGGACGUGCUGGGGUUGUGCUUCUAGAUCCGGGUUAUCACUUACCUCAUCCUGUCACUGUAAUGGAAGAUGGACUGUCCCCUCACUCCGGUCCGGUAAACGCCGCCACCGCUCGCUCUAAUGUUGUCAGAACUUACAGGUAUUAUUUUGGACCGUCCUCCUCCCCUCCUCCUCCUCCUCCUCCUCCUUCGUCAUCUGGGAAGUAGAGGAAAACAGGAGUGGACGCAUCACAUUAUUCAAGAACAUUAUCCACGUCUCCCGCCCGUUCCUCUCGGGAGUGAACGUGACGGAAAGACGCAACUUGCCCUACCACUUCAGGAUACUGCUCGGACGUGACGCCUCGGGAAAGUUCACGACGGGUUUAUAUUUUCAUAUCAAGCCAGCUCCCGCCUCCACAAUCGUCACAUUCCUCCACAAGGUUGACGGGGAAAUGAAGCACGUCAAGAAGCCAAUUGAUUAUUUCCUCCCGCAAGACGCAGAGGAGGAAGCGGGGAAGAAAGGAAACCAGGUAAAAGAUGGAAAGGAACUGAAUAAGAAGCGCAAUGUAGAACAGGAAGUAUGGAAGAGAGAGGAAGGUAACAAGGAGAAGAAUGAAGGGAAAGUGGACAAGGAGGUAGAGCGCGCAGUGAUGGCAAUUGAGGACGGCUUAGGGCGAGUACGGGGUGAGGUGCAACGUACUCUGGUCACUCUCGCCUGCCUCCUGAAAGAUGAAAAGUAUGUUGCUGAAUUUUGCAAGCUCAAUAAUGAAAUAGAGAUCCUGCGAAGGGCUUGAAACACACACACACACACACACACACACACACACACACACACACACACACACACACACACACAGAACGCGUGGUGUAGUGGUUAGCACACUUAGCUCAUAAUUGAGAAGGUCCGGGUUCG